rnacentral:rRNA from 1 species
GACGAACGCUGGCGGCGUGCUUAACACAUGCAAGUCGAACGGAAAGGCCCCUUCGGGGGUACUCGAGUGGCGAACGGGUGAGUAACACGUGAGUAACCUGCCCUUGCCUUCGGGAUAACUUCAGGAAACUGGGGCUAAUACCGGAUAGGAAUCCUUGCUGCAUGGUGGGGGUUGGAAAGCUUCGGCGGUUUUGGAUGGACUCGCGGCUUAUCAGCUUGUUGGUGGGGUAGUGGCUUACCAAGGCUUUGACGGGUAGCCGGCCUGAGAGGGCGACCGGCCACAUUGGGACUUAGGUGCGGCCCAGACUCCGACGGGAGGCAGCAGGGGGGAAGAUUGCACGAUGGGCGGAAGCCGGAUGCAGCAAGGCCGCGUGCGGGAUGACGGCCUUCUGGUUGUAAACCGCUUUCAGCAGGGGCGAAGCUUGUGGUGACGGUACCUGCAGAAGAAGCACCGGCUAACUACGUG